CAGCGAUCAGACGAGCCAAUGCAUCCGCCUUGAUCCUCUUUACCUCAUCUUUCUGGAGCAGCCCACAUUUCUUUCAGCAAAGAAGACUAAGCAGCCAACGACAUUCAUGGUACUCAGCAUGGGAGCUCAACCCAGCAUUCCAGCAGGCAGAAGGCCUGCAUGCCCAACAUUCUAGCAGCCCAUGAGACUCGCAAUCUCCUUAUUUCUCUCAAUCGCCAGCCUGGC
rnacentral:lncRNA from 1 species